AUGGGCCCCUUACGGUCCCUGGGCAACACACGUGCUACAAUGGGUAGUAACAAAGGGUAGCGAAAUCGCAAGAUGGAGCCAAUCCCGACAAAACUGCCCCCAGUUCAGAUUGAGGUCUGCAACUCGACCUCAUGAAGCCGGAAUCGCUAGUAAUCGUGAGUCAGCACAUCACGGUGAAUACGUUCUCGGGUCUU
rnacentral:rRNA from 1 species